rnacentral:rRNA from 1 species
UACGUAGGGGGCAAGCGUUGUCCGGAAUCAUUGGGCGUAAAGAGCGCGUAGGCGGUCCGGUAAGUCCGCUCUGAAAGCCCGGGGCUCAACCCCGGGAGGCGGGCGGAUACUGUCGGGCUAGAGUCCGGAAGAGGCGAGUGGAAUUCCUGGUGUAGCGGUGAAAUGCGCAGAUAUCAGGAGGAACACCGAUGGCGAAGGCAGCUCGCUGGGACGGUACUGACGCUGAGGCGCGAAAGCGUGGGGAGCAAACAGGAUUAGAUACCCUGGUAGUCCACGCCGUAAACGAUGGGCACUAGGUGUGGGAGGUGUCGACUCCUCCCGUGCCGCAGCUAACGCAUUAAGUGCCCCGCCUGGGGAGUACGGCCGCAAGGCUAAA